rnacentral:rRNA from 1 species
UGGGAAGUAAAAGUCGUAACAAGGUCUCCGUAGGUGAACCUGCGGAGGGAUCAUUACACAAAUAUGAAGGCGGGCUGGAAUCUCUCGGGGUUACAGCCUUGCUGAAUUAUUCACCCUUGUCUUUUGCGUACUUCUUGUUUCCUUGGUGGGUUCGCCCACCACUAGGACAAACAUAAACCUUUUGUAAUUGCAAUCAGCGUCAGUAACAAAUUAAUAAUUACAACUUUCAACAACGGAUCUCUUGGUUCUGGCAUCGAUGAAGAACGCAGCGAAAUGCGAUAAGUAGUGUGAAUUGCAGAAUUCAGUGAAUCAUCGAAUCUUUGAACGCACAUUGCGCCCUUUGGUAUUCCAAAGGGCAUGCCUGUUCGAGCGUCAUUUGUACCCUCAAGCUUUGCUUGGUGUUGGGCGUCUUGUCUCUAGCUUUGCUGGAGACUCGCCUUAAAGUAAUUGGCAGCCGGCCUACUGGUUUCGGAGCGCAGCACAAGUCGCACUCUCUAUCAGCAAAGGUCUAGCAUCCAUUAAGCCUUUUUCAACUUUGACCUCGGAUCAGGUAGGGAUCCCAAGU